AGAGUUUGAUCAUGGCUCAGAUUGAACGCUGGCGGCAGGCUUAACACAUGCAAGUCGAACGGUAACAGGGAGGAAGCUUGCUUUCUUUGCUGACGAGUGGCGGACGGGUGAGUAAUGCUUGGGAAUCUGCCUUAUGGAGGGGGAUAACUAUGGGAAACUGUAGCUAAUACCGCGUAAUGUUUUAGGACUAAAGUAUGGGACUUUCGAGCCAUAUGCCAUAAGAUGAGCCCAAGUGAGAUUAGGUAGUUGGUGAGGUAAAGGCUCACCAAGCUGACGAUCUCUAGCUGGUUUGAGAGGAUGACCAGCCACACUGGAACUGAGACACGGUCCAGACUCCUACGGGAGGCAGCAGUGGGGAAUAUUGCACAAUGGGGGGAACCCUGAUGCAGCCAUGCCGCGUGAAUGAAGAAGGCUUUCGGGUUGUAAAGUUCUUUCAGCGAUGAGGAAGGUACAUUAUCUAAUAGGUGAUGUAAUUGACGUUAGUCGCAGAAGAAGCACCGGCUAACUCCGUGCCAGCAGCCGCGGUAAUACGGAGGGUGCGAGCGUUAAUCGGAAUAACUGGGCGUAAAGGGCACGCAGGCGGUUGUCUAAGUGAGAUGUGAAAGCCCCGAGCUUAACUUGGGAAUUGCAUUUCAGACUGGGCGACUAGAGUCCUCUAGGGAGGGGUAGAAUUCCACGUGUAGCGGUGAAAUGCGUAGAGAUGUGGAGGAAUACCGAAGGCGAAGGCAGCCCCUUGGAGAGAGACUGACGCUGAGGUGCGAAAGCGUGGGUAGCAAACAGGAUUAGAUACCCUGGUAGUCCACGCUGUAAACGAUGUCAAUUUGGGGGUUGGUCUUUAAGACUGGCGCCCGUAGCUAACGCGAUAAAUUGACCGCCUGGGGAGUACGGCCGCAAGGUUAAAACUCAAAUGAAUUGACGGGGGCCCGCACAAGCGGUGGAGCAUGUGGUUUAAUUCGAUGCAACGCGA
rnacentral:rRNA from 1 species